UGGCCGUGAAGGUGACGGCGGGUAAUUGCAGACCAAUCAUCGACAAGGGUGACUGUAACUUGGAUGUGUGCAAAUCGCGUUGUAACGAAUGGAACGGGCACAGUGUCAGUCAUGUUGCUAGUUGUGUUCCCGACGGAUGCCAAUGUUAUGUUUGCUUUUAAUCUCUCGCACAAGGUUAAAACAUGAUGUGACUUUCUCCCAAGUAAAUGUAUUGGGAGUAGCUAGUUUCGACUGUCCGUCAUUGCUUAUCUAAAAUAAUACUAAUGAAUCAAUUUGUGUUUUGCUACUUGAGUUAUAUAUAUGCAUGUCCAUGUGUGGGGAGGAUUCGUACGAGCCGCUAGUAAAGAGCUCAAUUUUGUAUCUACCAUCAACCAAUGAUCUAUUCAUUGCGAACCCCGGAUUAACAUUUAUUUUGUUGUCAUUUAAAAAAAAUCAAUUAGUAGAACUCCGUUAGGUCAUACAAAGAUUCUCAUUUUUUUUAACGAUACUUCUGUCAAAAACCUCAAUUUCUUUUGUUGCCCAAACAAGAGAAAAAAAAUGUAUGUGUGUAACGUUUGUUGAUCAUGUCACCCUCACAUGAUAAACACCAAAUAAAAAGUGCGCACGUGGACAUGGCAACAAGAUGGCAAUGGAUGACUCCCCGUCCACAAAAGCCAGCCUACUUCGACAACCUAUUGGCCGUGUGUCAUGGUCUACCCCGCUAGCACUAACCUCGAACUUGCUUUUGCCUCUAUUAGUUCUUCGUCUAUUUUUCACUUUUAUGAGGUCUUGAGUGUCUCGUUUUAUAGAUAGUUUUUAUUUUUGAUGGUGAACUAACAAAAAGUUGUUCAUAAUCAUGUCGAGCGCAUGUCACUGAAUGGGUGGUUCGUUAAGGGCGCUCUCAAUGCUUGACUCUUAGCACAUGAUCAUACACAAAAUGUUGACGUGGCAUUGCAAUUAAAGAAGAAAGAGAGUGGAGUUGUAUCUUAACUCAUUUUUUUGUGCAGUGUAAUUAAUGCUCUGAUCUUUUGUGGCAUAUCUCAUUAUUUUUCGCUUCCUUUCUUCUCUCCACAACUAAGCGACAAGGUUGAGAUACCAAAAGGAUCGUUAUAAAUUAAUUAAAUGCAAUAUCACUUAGAUAUGACCCCUAAGAUACAAUGCAUUGGGGUGAUUGUUUUUUAUUUUUUGUCUCUACCUACGAUGCGCCUUUAAGAUAUAAUGCAUUGUGAGAGCCCUGAGGUCGAGUGUAUAACUUGCUAAGUAAAUAGGCAAUUUUCGACUAAUUUAAUCCAUAAGUAGAUAACUAGCAUGGCAUUGACAGAAGUAAUAGCAUACUGGUACUGGUCUAAACAAGCACGUACUACGCAAACAGUAGACAAAUCUACACAUGAUGCUAGCACUGCUAAUACAGAAAUUAUCAGGAGAGGGAUAAACGCGUUAUACCCUCCAGUAGGCCAUGCAGAAGCCGCCGCGGCGGUGGCAGCAGCAGCAGCAUCCUCGGCGGCCUUCUUGUCGGCCUCGGUCUUCUCGGCGGCGGCACGUUCGGCGUCGCUGGACAUGGUGACGACGGAGACGACGCGGACGUAGAGGAAGUAGUGGAUCGGAGGCGAGCACGCGCGUACUCGCUUCCCAAAAACCUAUACGUCUCUCUCCCGUACAGGAACCGGACUGACGGGGUUUCGGAGACCUGCUCUCCCGUCGACCGUGUACGUGACGGACGGGAUGGAGUCACCGGCGGCAGCAGCAACAAAGGAACGACGAUGGGCGGUUCGCGUGGAGCAGAUGUGAUCUGAUCGAGGCGGCUAGGGUUAGGAGACACGCACACUUAUAUAGACACAGCCGCGUGGAGAAACGUGGGCUCGACCCACGUCCGAGUCCGUGACAGCCCACGAUCCGACGUCUCAGAUCGCGGCCCUGCUGUCAGAAACUCUCGCAAAAAUAAGCGCAUAGGUGUGAGAUCGACUCGGCUCAUUCCCACAACCCGCGACGCGUCGUGACGAGGCGUUGCGUGGCGUGACGUGGCGUGGCGAGGCGGACGGUGGAGGAGGAGCGCGCGAGGGCCUCUUCUCUUCUCAAGCUCCAAUAGCAUGUAGAAAAGCCAACCUUAUAAGGAGGUCCAACUCCUCUUCCACUUUCGGGGUGGGACUAAACUUCCCACCUCCACCUAGUGCCAAUAAACCCACAUGGGCCCUUAGAGAUUUUCCAGAAAUUGCUAUAUGGGCUUAAGGCCCAUCUCAAAUUUCAGCAAUCCCCCACCAGAUCUCGAGGGCUCAUUGUGUCCUCUGUUCCAAUUGCUGUUUCGAUAUACUAGUGUUUCAGUGAAGACUUGUUAAGGUUGAGCUUCACCUAGAGCAAGUAGCUACACUCCUUCACAACUGAACAAUGGACUAUGCCCUGAAUUGUCAGUUUGGCGUAAAGAAGCUUCACCACAUGUAUUACUAGUACUGGGCUGCCGAAGGCUGACCCUCGGGUGGAGCAUAUAAGUCACACUCCUGGCCUAUUCAUGAGCUUACUAGAGAUCACCCCAAUCUCAUAGACUGUGACUAGCAGUCGGGCUCACAUAGGUGUGUUCCUUCAAAGAUCGCUCUGUAGGAUAGCAUCUUGCUUACAUAAGCUUUGGAACACAUUAAGACAAUAGUCAUCCUACCAUACAAUAUUGAGAGUAUUGCAUCUCCAACGGAGUGGGUUAGUGUAGUUACUCUCCUUAGCUCACCACUGGCUUGUUUUCCCAGGUCCUACUUCACGGGAUCUCCGAUCACAUAGGUUGGGUUACCACCAUGGCAACUCAUGUGGGUCUCAUACCCAUAUCCCUCGAUGCACUAUCUAUCACAACACGCGAUAGCCCUUCCGUAAAAGGAUCUGCCAGAUUCUUAGCCGUAUGGACAUAGUCCAACGCUAUCACUCCGGAGUUUCUUAAUUUUCUGACAGCUUUUAAUCUCAUUCUUAUGUGUUUGUUGGACUUCAUGUUGUCCUUUGAACUCUUCACCUUGGUGAUGACUGUCUGAUUAUCAUAGUUCAUAAGGAUAGCCGGAACCGGUUUAUCAACCAAUGGCAAGUCCAUCAAAAGAUCUCGAAGCCAUUCUGCUUCAACACCAGAUGUGUCUAAUGCUGUUAAUUCUGCUUCCAUUGUCGAUCUCGUUAAGAUCGUUUGCUUGCAAGACUUCCAGGAAACAACGCCACCUCCAAGAGUAAACAUAUACCCAGUUGUGGCCUUCAUCUCAUCAGCAUCAGAGAUCCAAUUCGCAUCACUAUACCCUUCAAGUACCGACGGGUCUCCGGUAUAGUGAAGUCCAUAGUUCAUAGUACCUUUCAAAUAGCGCAUAACUCUUUCAACAGCAUGGCAAUGUACAUCACCCGGUUUGGAAACAAACCGGCUCAGUUUGCUCACAGCAAAUGCAAUGUCAGGCCUCGUUGUGCUCGCUAGGUACAUCAGUGAACCAAUGAUUUGAGAGUAUCUCAAUUGAUCUUUAGCCAUGCCUUUGGACUUUCGAAUCAACACGCUAGGAUCAUAUGGUGUUUGAGAUGGUGUGCAGUCCAAAUAUCCAAAACGACUCAACACCUUCUCAACAUAGUAAGAUUGCAUAAGUGUGAUCCCACCCUCAUUAUCUCUCAGUAGCUUGAUGUUCAAGAUAACAUCAGCCACACCAAGGUGUUUCAUCUCAAAGUUCUGAGAUAGAAAUGAUUUGACCUCCUCAAUGACUUUGAGGUUUGUUCCGAAUAUCAGUAUGUCAUCAACAUACAAGCACAGUAUAACUCCUUCGCCCCCACCAUGGCGAUAGUAUACACGUUUGUCAGCCUCAUUAACAACGAAACCAGCAUAUGUCAGAGUUGUAUUGAACUUAUCAUGCCAUUGCUUAGGUGCUUGCUUCAGGCCAUAUAAAGAUUUCAGCAACCUACACACCUUCCUUUCCUGACCAUCUAUCACAAAGCCAUCUGGUUGUUGCAUGUAGAUUUUCUCAUUUAGCUCUCCAUUCAGAAAAGCCGUCUUAACAUCCAUAUGAUGGACGAGAAGACCAUGCGAGGCCGCCAACGAGAGUAUUACUCGAAUGGUGGUCAGUCUAGCCAUAGGUGAAUAAGUAUCGAAGAAAUCUUCCUCUUCUUUUUGGUCAUAGCCCUUGGUCACAAGCCUAGCCUUGUACUUUUCAAUCGUACCAUUGGGCCUAAGCUUUUUCUUGAACACCCACUUACAUCCCAAUGGUUUGCAACCAUAGAGACGCUCAGUGAUCUCCCAUGUCCCGUUAGCCAUGAUGGAAUCCAUCUCGCUACGGACCGCAUCCUUCCAGUAGUCAGCUUCUGGAGAGGCAUACGCUUCUGAAAUAGAAGUGGGAGUAUCAUCCACGAGGUACACAAAGAAAUCAUCACCAAAGGUCUUUGCAGUCCUUUGUCUCUUGCCCCUACCAAGGUUUCCUCGUCAUCCUCCUCAGGAUUUUCAUCAUGUGUUCGUUCAUAAUAUUCCAUACGAAUGGCAGGUUCAUGAGUCUCCUCAGAUUCCUGUCUAGAAGUGCUUUGCGUAUCUCUCAUAGGAAAAAUAUCCUCGAAGAAUGUAGCAUCUUUAGACUCCAUAAUUGUAUCGACCUUCUGGUCAGGUACCUCAGAUUUCACUACUAAAAAUCUAUAGCCAACGUUGUUCUUAGCGUAGCCCAAAUUAACGCAGUCCACAGUCUUGGGUCCAAGCUUACGCUUUUUGGGGAUCGGCACGUUGACUUUUGCCAAACAACCCCAAGUACGCAAGUACGAGAGUGUUGUCCUUCUCUUUGCCCAUUUCUCAUAGGGAGUGAUCUCGUUAUCCUCUGCCGGAACUUUAUUCAGGACAUGACAUGCCGUCAAUAUAGCCUCCCCCCACCAUGCCUUGGAUAAACCCGAUGUUUCUAACAUGGCGUUAACCAGAUUAGUUAGAGUACGGUUUUUCCACUCGGUAACCCCGUUUGACUGGGGAGAAUAGGGAGGCGUCCUCUCAUGAAUAAUGCCAUGUUCCGCACAAAAGGAAUCAAACUCACUCGAGAAGUACUCUCCACCACGAUCUGACCGGACUCAUUUAAUUUUCUUUUCAAGUUGAUUCUCAACUCCUGCCUUAUAGAUUUUAAAGUAGUGUAGAGCAUCUCUUUAGUAUUUAACAGAUACACACAACAAUAUCUAGUGGAAUCAUCUAUCAAUGUCAUGAAGUAUUUCUUUCCACCUUUAGUCAACACACCAUUCAUCUCACAAAGAUCGGAAUGUAUGAGUUCUAAUGGUGCCAAGUGUCUCUCCUCUACGGCCUUGUGAGGCUGGCGAGGUUGCUUAGCUUGCACACAUGAAAGACACUUAGAACCUUUGGCUAAUGUGAAACUUGGGAUUAAAUCCAACUUAGCUAGCCGCGUCAUAACACCGAAACUUAUGUGACAAAGACGUGAAUGCCAAACUUCAGAUUCAUUAACACUCGAAUGAAUAUGGUUCACGACUUUAUUACAGAAAUCUGCGAGGGAAAGGCGGAUCAUCCCUCCGCUCUCAUAACCUUUUCCAACAAAUAGUCCAUACUUAGUAACAACUAAUUUAUUAGACUCGAAAACCAACUUAAACCCUUCUCUACAUAGAAGGGAGCCACUAACGAGGUUCUUCUUGAUGGCGGGGACAUGCUGCACAUUCUUCAGCUGCACGAUCCUUCCCGAAGUAAACUUCAGAUCGACCGUGCCAACACCAUGAACAGAAGCACUCGCGCCAUUCCCCAUCAAUACAGACCCAUGGCAUGUGACCUGGUAAGAAGAAAACAAUGAAAUGUCAUCACACACAUGAACACCUGCACCUGUGUCCACCCACCAAUCGGUGGGCUGAAACAUUGCAAAAACAGUAAAUAAAUUACCGUACCCAGAUGCACCAUUCUCAUUGUUGCCCACAAUCAUGUUGACAGACUUGGAGUCCUGUCCUGACUUCUUGUACUUGUUUGGGCACUUGUUGGCCCAAUGUUCAACCGAACCACAAGUAAAGUAGCCCUCAUCCUUCUCGUUCUUCUUGAAGGUCUUCUUACCCUUCUUCUUGAAGUCGGUAUUCUGUUGGACACCGUUCUUUCCCUUGGGCUUGUGGGAGUUGAAGUUCCUCUGGUUCACCAUGUUGGCAAUAGAAGUCCCUUCGGCCCUUUUCUGUGCGAGUCCUUUGCCCUCGAAUUCUGCUCAACACUCAGAUGGCCAAUGACAUCCUCCACGGAGAAUUCACGCCUCUCAUGUUUCAGAGUGAUGGCAAAGUUCCUCCAGGAAUUAGGGAGCUUAGCGAUUAUGCAGCCCGCGACAAACUUGCCCGGUAACUCGCACUUCAGAAGCUCAAACUCUUUAACAAUGCAUAUUAUCUCAUGAGCCUGCUCCAGUACAGAACGGUUCUCAACCAUCUUGUAAUCGUGGAACUGCUCUAUAAUAUACAUCUCGCUCCCUGCAUCGGCAACCCCGAACAUAGAUUCGAGCGCCUCCCACAAGUCCUUGGCGACAUGCACAUGUAAAUAUGCGUCGACCAGUUUAUCUUCGAUCACGCUGAGAACUGCUCCGAGAAACACAAUGGUUGCCUCCCUGGACGCCUUCUCCUGUUUAGGAGCAAUCGUUCCCGUGGACACACUAGUGACCCAAAACAUGUUCAUAGCCGUGAGCCAUAAAGUGGUCUUUGUCUACCAAUGCUUAAAAUAUGUACCGAUAAACUUAUCCGGUUUCAGUGCUGCGGCAAAGCCACUAGACGAAAAAUUCCUACACAUAAUAGGUUUUUGGAAUGCUAAGUAAAUAGGCAAUUUUUCGAUUAAUUUAAUCCAUAAGUAGAUAACUAGCAUGGCAUUGACAGAACUAAUAGCAUACUGGUACUGGUCUAAACAAGCACGUACUAUGCAAACAGUAGACAAAUCUACACAUGAUGCUAGCACUGCUAAUACAGAAAUUAUCAGGAGAGGGAUAAACGCGUUAUACCCUCCAGUAGGCCAUGCAGAAGCCGCCGCGGCGGUGGCAGCUGCAGCAGCAUCCUCGACGGCCUUCUUGUCGGCCUCAGUCUUCUCGGCGGCGGCACGUUCGGCGUCACUGGACAUGGUGAUGAUGGAGACGACGCGGACGUAGAGGAAGUAGUGGAUCGGAGGCGAGCACUCGCGUACUUGCUUCCCAAAAACCUAUUCGUCUCUCUCCCAUACAGGAACCGGAGAGACGGGGUUUCGGAGACCUGCUCUCCCGUCGAUCGUGUACGCGGCGGACGGGAUGGAGUCACCGGCGGCAGCAGCAGCAAAGGAACGGUGGGCGGUUCGCCUGGAGCAGAUGUGAUCUGAUCGUGGCGGCUAGGGUUAGGAGACACCGCACACUUAUAUAGACGCAGGCGCGUGGAGAAACGUGGGCUCGACCCACGUCCGAGUCCGUGACAGCCCACGAUCCGACGUCUCAGAUCGUGGCCCUGCUGUCGGAAACUCACCAUUAGUGACUGGCAAAAAUAAGCGCAUAGGUGUAAGCUCGGCUCAUUCCCGCAACCCGCGGCGCGUCGUGACGAGGCGUGGCGUGGCGAGGCGGGCGGGAUGAGGAGCGCGCGAGGGCCUCUUCUCUUCUCAAGCUCCAAUAGCAUGUAGAAGAGCCACCCUUAUAAGGAGGUCCAACUCCUCUUUCACUUCCGGGAUGGGACUAAACUUCCCACCUCCACCUAGUGCCAAUAAACCCACAUGGGCCCUUAGAGAUUUUCCAGAAAUUGCUAUAUGGGCUUAAGGCCCAUCUCAAAUUUCAGCAUAACUACUAUGUAAUUAAGAACACUCUUAAAUGGGACGGUGUGAACUUAAUUUGAAUUUGCAAGCUUAACAAGUACUGUAGCAAUUUCUUAUGUGAAAUCGUAUUUUUAGAGUCUACUCAAAUGUGUGGGCAGCAUCUUUUAAUCAUUUCAUGUAUUUUAUUAAUUAACUUCAUCUAUGAAGCAAGAAUACAUAAAUUUUACAACCAAUUCAGAUUUCUUUCUCAUUAUUUAUUAUAAUUAGUUCACCACUAUAAGUAAAGAACAUUUUGACUCCCACCCUCCAGCUUAAAUUUGUUUUGUUUCUCUUAGCUACUUGGACUUUUAGUGUUGACCUGGUGUUGAUGCCCGUACCUCCCUCCAUCUUUGGAGGAGUUGCAGGAAGGUGUAUGGCACCUGGUUAGGAUAGUACUUUGUUGUAAUUUAUAAAUAUUUUUUCUGAUUAACUAUAUAUAAAUAGGAGGAUUUCCUACUAUUGUCAUUCUGUUAAAGGGGAACAUUUCAAUCCCAAAGAAAGAUUACUAAUGCAAAACUAUCUUUCACAAAAAUGUCGGUGUGAGAAUCCGACGCCCUCAGAUUCAGCUGGCGGCCACCGACCGCAUAGUGGGUUCUGCCAUGGCUCGGAUGCUACCGUGAUACGGGCUUCUGGGUCGUCGGAUUCUCUGGUCGGAUGGCCCCAAAGUAACCCUGCAACAUUUACCAAAAAGCCUCCUAAAAGUUUAAAAAGUUAUGCAUGGAUCCAGUAGAUGCAACAGCCCCGGAUGCCGUCUUAUUUGAGAAUGGUAGUAGCAGCAGAUACUUGUGCAUAGGCUUGCAACGUCUAUCUUUUAUUUUUGAGUCUAAACACACUUUAUUGAUCAUAAAAGUUCAUAGGAAUACAAUGAAUGUCUGGUGGGUUUAUAAGCCAUAAGUGGCGCCCAUAAUCUAGUCCGAAAGCGUGUUUAGCGACGCUAUGUGCCUCGAUAUUUGUCGAUCUGCCCUCAAAGAUGAAGGUGCAAUGAUCAAAGUCAUGUGCCGUCUCAUUGAUCUCCUUGAUAGUACUAGCAUAUAAUUCUCCCGUGCCUUCUUUGAUGUCCCUGAUCACUCCCUGGCAGUCCGAUGCAAUAACAAGCCGGGAAAUAUCCAAGUCCGACACUAGAGCAAGCGCCUCACGACAUGCCAAGGCUUCCAGAGUAGCCGGAUCCACCACUCCCGGAAUCUUGAUCGCCGAGGCUCCUAGGAAUAACCCGGUAUCAUCUUUGCACACUGCGCUGAACGUACCCUCGAGGGUAUUUCUCGCAGUUGCUCCAUCAACUCUGAUCUUCGCCACUCCCGACGGAGGUGGUAUCCAUUUAGCCUGAACCUGGACCGGGUUUGGACUCCCUCCCCCUUGAGUCACUUUGGGCUUGCAUUCCUCGAUUUCUUGGAUAUACUUGGAAAUGAAGCUAUGCGUUGACAAAGGACUCUGGAAUAUGUUCUCAUGCAGCGCCUGUCUCCGUGAAUGCCAAAGCGCCCACACACUAGUGCAGAACCGGCCUUUAGUGCCGGUUCGGCAACCGGCACUAAAGAGUGGGGACUAAAGUUCCCCCCCUUUAGGACCGGUUCGUCACGAACCGGUGCUAAAGUGCCACCACGUGGCACGAGCCAGGCCCGAGUGCGUGUAGGACAUUAGUACCGGUUGGUAACACCAACCGGUACUAAAUGUUUGGGUGUUUUUUUUAAUUUUUCCUUUAAUUUUGUGUUUUCAAUUUAAUUUAGUGAUUGUUUUACAUUAUAAUGAGUUGUUAAAUCAUUAGAUGAAAGUACCAUAGAUUAGUUUCGACUGGAUGCAUUAAUUGGAUCCUAUAGCUAUAUACUAGCUAAGUGAUCAAGAGUAUAUGCCAUAUAUCCAUAUUAUACUUGAUCACCUAAUUAUGUGAUCAAGUAUAAUAUAUAUGGAUAUGGCAUAUACUUGAUCACUUAGCUAGGAUCCAUCCAGCUGAAACUAAUCUGUGGUUUCUUUCAUUAAAUGAUAUAAUAACUCAUCAUCAUCAUCAUAUUAAUAUAAAAACUCUUGCAUCAUAUACUCUAGCUAGCUAUAGCUAAAAAUCAUUGUAGUCAUCAUUAUCACUAUUUAAUCAUCAUAGUCAUUGCCGCUAUCUAAUCACCAUCAACACUAGCUUAAAGAAGAAACAUUCACUUGUACUAGAAGCAAAAAUAUCAUCGAGUUCAACAUGAUGGUCAUGAUAUUAUAAGCGUUCAUAACACCACAAAAGCAAAUCACUCUUUGAGAUUAAGUUCAGGACGAAGAACACGGACUUGAGAGGACAAGUACUAAGAGCAUGAACUAGCUAAAUCACUCCUGCUGCUCUCUCUCAGGUAAAAUAGCAUAGAACAUGUAUAGCUCUCCUGAUUCAUCAUACUGGAGCAUGCAGAUGAUCCUAUCUCCUAAUCGUGGGCUGCGCUUCUCAUUGCUGCCCCCUAGUACUUCUCUGCGAUUGUUAACAAUUUUCCUCCAAUCUUUCACUAUUAAGCAUUCAUCGCUUCUAGAAAUCCUGAAUGCACUCAUGUGCAAUGUAGGAUAUCUUGGCCGUAAGCUAACAAUUGACAUGCGACCUUUAGUCUCGAUCCCCUGAGGCACAACUGUCAUCGAGAGUCCCUGUUGAAGAACAUCGUAUAGUACUUAAUUAAUAUACUUAGCAAUGAAAGUUUAGCAAAAAAAUUAUGUAUGCAAAAGAUGCACCGAGGACAAAUAGUAGAAUUCUUACCAUCAUUCCUAAAUAGAUGUGACCGUAGUUCAAUGCGAUCAUUAUUGGUCGCACGUUUUGAGUACUAACAUUUCUAAGUGCAGGAAGAAAAUUUGUCUUGACAGUAUGAAGAUCCUCAAGCCAUGAAACAUAAUGACUUAUCUCCUCGUGGUUUAGUUCAGCUCCGGGACAGUAGUAGGUCUUGUCUACCAAGCGCCGGACGUGUUUGCUUGAAUGGAAAUAAGCUGUCAAUAGAAAUUAGUUGUCAAUUAUUUUUGAAUUAGCAAUAUCAAAGACAAAAAUAUAGUUGAGAAGAACUCACAUAAUGGUAGAACUGGAGGCGUCUGCACAUCGACCCAGAUGUCUCUAUUACCUUCAACACCAUCUUCCGGACGAAUAUCAAAGGUGAUAACCAUAUCAGGCUCAAAUGCAUAAGCCUUACAUAGUGCUUGCCAAUUUUUGCAUUCAAAAUAGGUGUACGUGUUUGCAUUGUAUACUUUGACGUUGAAAGUAUAAUCAUGCUCAGUUUUUAGGUAAACUCUCUUUACCUCCAUAGUUUCCAUAGCAUUGAAACCUAUCUUAUCCAAGACAAAAAUUCUUGCAUGGCAGGGGAUGCGCUAGUAGAAUAGUGAAAAUUAAAAAUUAUAAGUUGAAGUAAAUGAAGCAUAUAUAAGUCAUGCUUAAUUACGAAAACAGACUUGUCGUUGUGACUUACUGUAUCGAAUUCGAAGGUCUCAUCCAGCUUGGUGCUGAAUCACCUAUCAUCAACAAGGAAAUUUCUGUCGCACAGGCCGCGCUGGUCUUCACAGUAUUCACACAUAAUGAAAUCUUUUUCGUCGUCAGACGACAUUUCCUAUGUUCAUAUAGGCGAAACAUUAAACACUUACUAAUUCAAUUAAUUCAACUAAUUCAACUAGUUCUAUUAAUUCAACUAGUUCUGUUAAUUCAACUAAUUCAACUAAGCAUUUACUAAAAAUAAACUAGUUAUAUUAAUUCAACUAGUUCAAAUAAUCUCAUAUACCUAAAUUUUCUUACUAAAAAUAAAUUAGUUAUAUUAAUUCAAGUAGUUCAACUAAGCAUUUACUAAAAAUAAACUAGUCCUAUAUUCAUCUAGCUAACAACUUUUCUAUCUAAUUCAUCUGAUAUUAAUCUAAACAAUAGAAAAAAGAAAAUAAGUAAAAAAAUAUGUGUGUGUGUAGUACUGUGUGUGUAUGCGUGUGUACAUAUGUGUGUGUAGUGUGUGUGUGUGUGUGUGUGUGUCUAUGCAUGUGUGUAUGUGUGGGUACGAGAGCGGGCCGGGGGGGGCGUACGAGCAGCGACGGGGGCGGUGGCGUAUGGGGGCGGCGCGACGACACGGGCGGCGGGCCGGGGACGAUCGCGAGGCGACGUAGUACAGGGUGAGACGGCGACGACGGCGCGAGACGGGGCGACGGCAUGCGGCGAGGGCGUCGGCGCUGCGGCGGCGACGAUGUCGCGCGAGUGGAGGAAGUGGUCGAUAUGGAACUGAUUUUUGUAAGUGCCCUAUAUAUAGGAGGGGCCUUUAGUACCGGUUGGAGCCACCAACCGAUACUAAAGGCAAAUUUUGGCCAGGCCAAGCGGCAGGAAACGAGGGCCUUUAGUACCGGUUGGUGGCUCCAACCGGUACUAAAGGACAACCCAUUAGUACCGGUUGGAGCCACCAUUAGUACCCCCGGUGCACUAUGUUUAGUCUGGUUUAUAAACUCAGCCGCGGCUGCUCUUUUGAACUCCUCUAUAUAGCAGGCUUCUGGGCCUAACUAGGGUGCGCUGCCCUGUGAGCCUGCCGGCCCUUUUCGGCCUGAAUUUGCACACCCUAGGUCUGGCAGGCCCACCGGGCAGCGCCCCAACUAUUUUUUAUAUAGUUUUUUUCUUUUAUGCAUUAUUUAUUUUUGAGUAAUUUUUUAUAUAGUAUUUUCUUUUCUCCUUUAUUUUUUUUCUUNNNNNNNNNNNNNNNNNNNNNNNNNNNNNNNNNNNNNNNNNNNNNNNNNNNNNNNNNNNNNNNNNNNNNNNNNNNNNNNNNNNNNNNNNNNNNNNNNNNNNNNNNNNNNNNNNNNNNNNNNNNNNNNNNNNNNNNNNNNNNNNNNNNNNNNNNNNNNNNNNNNNNNNNNNNNNNNNNNNNNNNNNNNNNNNNNNNNNNNNNNNNNNNNNNNNNNNNNNNNNNNNNNNNNNNNNNNNNNNNNNNNNNNNNNNAGUUUUUUUCUUUUCUGCAUUAUUUAUUUUCUUCUAUUUAUUUUUGAGUAAUUUUUUUAUAUAGUAUUUUCUUUUCUGCUUUAUUUUUUUUCUUCUAUUUAUUUCUGAGUAGUUUUUUUGCUGUAUUUAGUUUCUUUGUGAAUAUUUUUGCUUUAGUUGAUUCGACUGCUGCAUAAUGCUUCAUUUUCGACUGAUUUUCAAUUUCAUGGUCAUUUAGCUAUCUAAACAAAUUGAUGGCGUCGCUUUGAAUGUUGCAUAAUGCCGGCUCAAAAAAAGUCUGGAGUUCAAAUAAGUUUAAAAAAAAUGAAGCGCCCGUGUAACAAAUGAGUUCUCGUCGGAAACCCUGAUACUCCGAAAGAGAUUGUCCAGUUUGUACACGAAGUGCGUCCAGUUUUUGCCGUUACCCUCUCUACUCUUUCGCACAUGCUAUGCGGGUGAAAUGAUGAUACCAUGACAAGUUUCAACAUUUUCAGAGUUCGUUUUGUAGUGAUUUUCAAUUUCACGGUCAUUUAGCUCUGAUCUAAACAAAUCGGUUACUGAAAAACGGCAAAUGAUGUCAGAACGUGUUGGAAAUUGAUGAUGUCGCGGGAGAUUGAGGGGGAGACCGAGUGAGUGGAGAGAGUGAGGGCGUAAAUAUGUAAAAAUAUACAUAAAAAAUACAUUGAUUAUCAAUGAUCUUUUUGUGUACAAUCUAAAUUGUCAAUAUGAGUCCUCAACGGUUGAAACCGGUGAAGACUCAUAUUGAGUCCACAAAUUAUAUACACAUAGAGUUCAAUGAAGACCAAAUGCUUGUGAUACUUUUUUUUGCAUGGUAAUCGUGUCUCAUUUAUAUCAUAAGGAUCAUGGUACAAGCACGUACAUACCGAUCUGGCAAAACUGAAAAGACAGCAAAACGCUAGCCUUUGCACAAAGGAACAACAACCAAAAAGUAAAAUUACAAUCAAGACCGAAGAAACCUUUGAACUUGACACCAACGCCCGUCAUAGGCCUCCGGUACCACCAUAGCAGCCACCAAAGGAAACAAUGACAGAUCACCUUCACACCUGAGCUCGAAGCGGCUCCAUCGCUGAUAUGCAGCUUUGCGGACCUCCAAGGUGGUUCACCAAAAGCGAAACCAUUACCGUUGAACGAAUCAGACCGGGGCAACACCCCGGACACGCCAUCGAACUCUAGAUCUGGCACCACCACACGACUAAGACGCCAGAGGAUAAAACCAUACCUGCCAUCCACGAACCACGUACCCAGCACACGAUCCACCAUCUUCCAGAUGCCGCCGAUGCAGACCACAAUCUGCAUCCGCUCCUGGACUACCUCCCAAGCUCCGCGCCGGCGCAGGAGCAAACAUCGUCGCAAUGACGAAGCCCGAGGACACAGGUCCACCGAAGUCACCGGCGGAGGGGAGCCGCCGGAGGCCGGCGGCGGAAGCGAGUCCGCUAGCGCUAGAAGCUAGAUCGCCUUUUUCUUUCUUCAGGAGAAAGAAAAGCAAAUAGUUCACGUACCCCCACGGCGCAAGUUGCCCACGUAAUGCUUGUGAUACUUUGAGAAGUAACAUAUUUGAAUUGUGCAUCUGAACGCAGAAAAAUACAUUGAUCAGUACCGCCUUUCAGCCAAAACGCGCUACUGCUACAGCAUAAAAAAUACAUUGAUCAUCAAUGAUCUUUUUGUAUAGAAUCUAAAUUGUCAAUAGGAAUCUACCCCGAUUUAAGAACCGGCGAAGACUCCUAUUGCAGCCACAGAUCCUACACAUAGAGUUCAAUGAAGACCAAAUGCUUGUGAUAGUUUGAGAAGUAACAUAUUUAAGGUGGUAAAAAUCUUGCUAGGAGAGCGAGGUGGGACUAAAAAUAGGCCUGCAACCACCUCUUUACUACCGGUUCGUGGCACGAACCGGUACUAAAGAUUCGCAUUGAACCGGUACUAAAGAUCUCCUCCCGCCUAGCCAUUUGAACCGGCACUAAUGGACACAUUAGUGUCGGCUCAAAUGCAAACCGGUACUAAUGUAUCUCAGAUUUGACCCUUUUUCUACUAGUGACAUGGUGACCGCGACCUGAGUAAACUCUGUCGGCGAAAGCAUUUCCAUUAGGGCAAACAACCAUCUCUUCGCAUCCGGCUCUGUUGUGUUGUUCAAAGCCUCAACUAGCUCCGUAUCUUGCAGCGCCCACACACAACGGGCGACUGUACAGUGUAGUAAUGAGUGUUGCCAUGAAUCUUCUGCCUCGCACAAGCCGCACCGUGUGCUAGUGGACAUGUUCCGGUGAUGUAGCAAGUCUGCCGUUGGAAUGGAUUGCUGAGCAAGCCUCCAUAAAAAGAUCUUCACCUUGGGGGGUACAUUAGCUUUCCAUAACUUCUCACAUGCCUUUGAAUCCCUGUCAAUAUCUGAGGAAUUAGCUCGGCCUUCAAGCCAUGCUUCUCUCCUCAUCUUGGUGUUAACCAGCAUGCGGUAAGCAGAUCUUGCGAAGAACACCCCAUUCUUUUCAUGGAUCCAAGACCAAAAGUCCUCAAUGUGUCUCGUACACAAGGGUAUUGACAUAAUUGCCUGUGCGUCUGUUGGAAGAAAGAUCUCUGAGAUCGUUGUGUUGUCCCAUUGUGCACCUGGCAAUAUCAGUUCGUUCACCCCCUGAGGUGGAUUCGCUAUUCUGCACACUAUCGGUCUCAUAUUGGCCGGGCGUGGAAGCCAAUUUUGGUUCCCAAUAUGCGUGGUUAAACCAUCACCAAUGCGUCAGGAUUAACCCCUGAUUUAACACUUCUCGUCCAUCCAGGAUUGCUCGCCAGAUUUGGGAGGAUUGCAACGUCUAUCUACUUUGAGGCCAGGGGGGCCGGCCGGGGGCGCACGAGCGCAGACGACCCAGUUAUCCGCUGGCGCAGAGCGUACGGACACACUGGAGCCGCACUGGGCCGCACUGUGAUAGUGACUGAAAGACUAUACGUGUGCUGUACUGUGUGUGCAGUACCUAUCUGAACGGAAUGGAAUAUGCGCAUGCGGGCGGGUUUUACGUACGUACUGUAUGGCUGUAUACCAUGCCAAAAGACGCGUAGAUCGAAAUACGGAGUACAAAAUACCAUACGGUGAACCUUGGUCACCUUUUUUUUGGGCUAGUGGCACCUGCAGCAUGCACGCAAUGCAGCCCGCAUGGUGCUUGCUGACUCACCGGCUCGUGCAUGUGCAUGUGCGUGCCGCAGCCGCAUCCGGUUUGGAUCUGCAUGCGGGCCGAGACCACCAAACACAUGAUGCAUGAUCCAUCGAGGCACCCGCAUCAAGGGUGUGAACAAGAGACUCGACACCAUCAAAAAGCGAAGCACUGCUUUCAGCUUCAUCAAUCUUAGUUCAUACGAGGAUCGUAGCAGUAAGGUGCACGCUUCUCAUUCUGGAAAUACCAGCCGCGAGACAUCAGGGGAGUUCGAUCGGUCUGGUAUAGUCGGGGAGAAGAUCGAAGAAGACACAAGAAAGCUGGUUGAGAUCAUGUUGACUGAAAAAAAGGGCAACUCCAACAUCAUGGUGGUCGCCAUUGUUGGUGUCGGCGGCAUCGGUAAGACCACUCUUGCCCAGAAGGUCUUCAACGAUGAAACGGUGAAGGCCGAGUUUGACAACACAAUAUGGUUGAGCAUCAACCAGGACUUCGACAGGGUUGAGCUGCUCAGGACAAUCAUCACCCUUGCUGGGGCAAAACACUCUGGUGAAAAGGUGUUGUCUGUGCUUCAACCAAUUCUCACUACUGCCCUUUCAGGGAAGAAGCUAUUGCUGGUGCUAGAUGAUGUGUGGAGUCACGGAGCAUGGGGUGAUGUGCUUGAAAUACCCUUGGUUAAUACUCUGGUUCAAGGUAGUAGGGUCCUCCUCACUACUAGAGAUGAGAGAGUUGCUCGAGGGAUGAAAGUUGUGCUUCCCUACCAUCACGUUGACAAAUUGAAGGAGGAGGAUGUCUGCUCAUUGCUCAAGAAACAGGUACAUAGCCAAACUCCAUGCAUCUUCGCUAAUUAUGCUUAUUUGGUAAGUCCAGAUUGUGAGAAAACAUAUAUAUCAAAAAUUCAAGAUUGAGGAAGCCACCACACGUGUUGUGCUAUCGUCGAACUGGGCGGUUGUUAUGCUAACGAGGAAUAAACCGUAACAGGCCAAAGCUUCCAGGUUUGGCCCAGUAACCAACUCGGUUGGCCUGUGUUCUUGUCACAUGCUACAAGAGAAUGAGCUUAUUUGACAUCUACUCCCUCCGUUUCUAAAUAUAAGUCUUUUUAGUGGUUUCAAAUGAACUACAACAUACAGAUGUAUAUAGACAUAUUUUAGAGUGUAGAUUCACUCAUUUUUCUCCAUAUGUAGUCCCUUGUUGAAAUCUCUAAAAAGACUUAUAUUUAGAAACGGAGGGAGUACAACAUUAGUACAGAAAACAUACUUUUUAUGGCGUAAAAAACGAGACAAUAAGGGCUCCUUCGAUUCAUAAGAUAGGAAAAAUGGAGGAUUGCUAUACCCUGCUCACUUGAAUUCUAUGGAAUUGAAAAAGAGAGGAAUUGACACAAGUGGGUUCUUUUGAAAAAACAGAUGGCAGCAUAGCAAAAUCACAGGAUUCUUGUAAAAAGGUCAGACCUCAUGGAAAGUUCCUAUAAAAUAGACUAGGGAAAGUUCUAUAGGAUUCGGGAUUCCCAAGGAUUGCGUUCCUGCAAAUCAAGCACCUAUCACAGGAAAAAAUCCGUAGGAUCAUAAUCCUAUGAAAUUCUAUGGAAAUCCCAUGAAUCAAAGGAGCCCUAAACUGGUGAACCGAACCGAUAGCCUCACCGAUUCGGUUUUAAAAACAACGGUUGGGUACAACCACCUCAACUAGCCACCCAACCUAUGGUUUGAUUUUGUAGUUGUAUAAAAAAUAUGACUCCACCUAAGUAUGGAUGUAUGUAUUGUAAUAUUCAUCGACAUAAUUAAAUGCAUAAUUUGCUUUGUAAUUGAAUAGAAACCAAGCAUCCCGGUUAAAAGGAAAGGAAAAAACUUAGCACCUUGUGUUUUCCAGCCAGUGUAGUAGUACAAAGCCAUAAUUAAAAACUUAGCAUGUUGUUGUGCCUGCCCUCUCUCUUCCUUGACGAUCCAUCUCAUCUCAUCGUCAUGGUUUUUAUGUUUUCCAGCCAGUGUAGUAGUACAAAGCCGUACAAGUUGCACAGUGAUCACACGUGUACUACGUGCCGGCCGGACACUGCACAUCUCUCCAUCUUCCUCUUAUCUUUUUUUUUCCUUUUUUAACAAAAAUCUCUCCAUCCUCCCCUCCUCAACGGCACAAAUGUUGAACCUAAAAAAAAA
rnacentral:lncRNA from 1 species